rnacentral:rRNA from 1 species
GAUGAACGCUGGCGGCGUGCCUAACACAUGCAAGUCGAACGGAGUUGUCACCAUGAAGUUUUCGGAUGGAUUGGUAACAACUUAGUGGCGGACGGGUGAGUAACGCGUGGGUAACCUGCCUCAUACUGGGGGAUAACAGCUGGAAACGGCUGCUAAAACCGCAUAAGAAUCGCAUCACCGCAUGGUGAGGCGGUUAAAUAUCGAAAGAUAGGUAUGAGAUGGGCCCGCGUCUGAUUAGCUAGUUGGUGAGAUAAGAGCCCACCAAGGCGACGAUCAGUAGCCGGCUUGAGAGAGUGACCGGCCUACAUUGGGACUGAGACACGGCCCAAACUCCUACGGGAGGCAGCAGUGGGGAAUAUUGCACAAUGGGGGAAACCCUGAUGCAGCGACGCCGCGUGAGUGAAGAAGUGCUUCGGCAUGUAAAGCUCUAUCAGCAGGGAAGAAGAUGACGGUACCUGACUAAGAAGCCCCGGCUAACUACGUG